rnacentral:rRNA from 1 species
CUACGGGUGGCUGCAGUGAGGAAUAUUGCACAAUGGGGGGAACCCUGAUGCAGCAACGCCGCGUGGGGGAUGACGCAUUUCGGUGUGUAAACUCCUUUUAUAUGUCAAGAAAAUGACGGUAGCAUAUGAAUAAGCGCCGGCUAACUCCGUGCCAGCAGCCGCGGUAAUACGGAGGGCGCAAGCGUUACUCGGAAUCACUGGGCGUAAAGGACGCGUAGGCGGGUUGAAAAGUCAGGUGUGAAAGCCUACAGCUUAACUGUAGAACUGCACUUGAAACUCUCAACCUAGAGUAUGGGAGGGGCAGAUGGAAUUAGUGGUGUAGGGGUAAAAUCCGUAGAUAUCACUAGGAAUACCUAAAGCGAAGGCGAUCUGCUGGAACAUUACUGACGCUAAGGCGUGAAAGCGUGGGGAGCAAACAGGAUUAGAUACCCGGGUAGUC